AUCUUUUUUUAUGAAAAAAAAGUGUUAAAGAGUAAACAGAAGAAGCUUCACGUCUAGACAUUUCACACACAAAAGACUAGUUCACAGCUGGAACUAGAGACACCUUUACAUACACAAAUACACGCACGCUCACUGCAACGAAGUACUUGCUUGCUACUGACAUCACAUAACAUGAAAUGAUGAGCUACUAACCCUGUCUUGUUUGUUUUCAUGAUUUAGAAAGAACAGAACAUGCUUAGCAAGCUGGUGGCAACAACCUUUCCUCAGUUAUCCAACACUGAUCGGCUCAUUUAUAGAGGAGAAGAAAAUGAGUAAAACGGGAUGAAAAUAAUGUUUUGUUUAUUUUAUCCCUUCAGAUGCAUUCUAAUUGUUACUCACUGACACAUGAAGUUAUAUUUUCUCCAGAUUACCGUCUAACCGUUGACCCAAGAUCAGAUAAGAUGGUAUCUCUCUCAUUACUACAGCUGAAGUAGUGAGAGUGAGUAAAACCUUCCUGCCAGAGGUGGAAAUGUCAACAUACUGAUCCUUAUGUACAUUUCUGUAAUACUGAAUGGCAGUUUCCCUGCUUGGUUCUGUGUGAUGAUGCAAACUGCAAGUCCCCUGAUUUCCUGAAAACCUUAAGUGUGUGCGUGAAUUGCACCAAAACCGUUCAUGUGUCUCUGGGUCCUAAUUAUUUUAUUUUGUCUUUCACAAAUGGCUUAGAUUAGGGUUUUAGUACUCUUGGUACGGUAUCUAUAAUCCAUAUUAAACAAGAAUUGAAUCUGAAACAGUUUUAAAGAUACAAACUGAAAACAUAAUAGAUUUAUUUUUCAGUCAAGCAAACUAAAAAUCUGAAAUCUGUCUGAAAACAGAUGAAUCAAUAAAUAAAUUGCUUAGAGGGAAUUUCCUAAGACCUAAAGAAAAUGCUGAUGUAUGAAUUAAAUUACGUUAAGGAGCUCCUCUAUUAACUGUUAUCAGAUGUAACUGUAUGCAAAUUACUUUUAGUAGAACAAAGAAAACCUUAAAAAACUAAAACAACAAAUGUUGAGGCAGAUAAAAUUACUUUUAGGUCAUUGUUAGCUCUGCAUUAAAACAGGAAAAUGCACUAUAAGAUGACCAGAGAUACCAGAAGAAAAUUAAAACUUGUUUCAUAUUGGUCUGAUAUCCAUGGAUAUUUUAAACUGAUUCUCUUAUACAAAUAAUAAUAAUGAAAAAAAGGGUUUUGUAAAAGACUAAAAGAGGAAAGCGCUGCUCGAGCAAAUUUGGCUGAUGAUGGACACAUCAUUAAAAGAAUUUUAAUUGGGUUUACGUCCAUAUC